GACGAACGCUGGCGGCGUGCUUAACACAUGCAAGUCGAACGAAGAGGCGAACGGGUGAGUAACGCGGAAUCAACCUGCCCAUCAGAGGGGGACAACAGUGGGAAACGACUGCUAAUACCGCAUAGUGAAGGAGGGGAAUGCGUCUGAUUAGGAAGUUGGAGGGGAAACGGCCCACCAAGGCGAUGAGCAGUAGCCGGUCCGAGAGGUUGACCGGCCACAUUGGGACUGAGACACGGCCCAGACUUCUACUGGAGGCAGCAGUGGGGAAUCUUCCGCAAUGGACGGAAGUCUGGCGGAGCAACGCCGCGUGAGUGAUGACGGCCUUCGGGUUGUAAAGCUCUGUUAAUCGGGACGCGGUACCGGAAUAGAAAGCCACGGCUAACUACGUGCCAGCAGCCGCGGUAAUUC
rnacentral:rRNA from 1 species